GUCAACGUUUAUUCAUAAAUCUGGUCCUUCACUGUCACGUGUGUUUUGUAUUUUUGCCAAAUCCACCAAUAACAAUUUCCAAUUUCCCUAUUGUUCGAGUCACGGAUAGGUAACUUUCCUAAAAUAUUGCUGUUGGUUAGUUGGGCAAAAAUACAAUACACACGUGACGGUGCAGGACCAGAUUUAUGAAAAAACCUUGAC
rnacentral:miRNA from 1 species